GGGUCAGUAGGUUGGUCGUGCCACCGGUACGUACUGGUCUCGCUGAUUCCUCCUUCCUGAAGAACAGUAAUGCCAUUGAUUUGGUGUUGCGGGGAAACAGGACUGUUACUUUGAAAAAAUUAGAGUGUUUAAAGCAAGCUAACGCUUGAAUACAUUAGCAUGGAAUAAUGAAAUAGGACGAUCGAUCCUAUUUUGUUGGUUUCUAGGAUUGACGUA
rnacentral:rRNA from 1 species